UUCCGUUGGGAUCUUUCAUAUAUUUGAUGUCUUAAAAUUGAUGGAGGUGUCAUGUGUGGUAUUGAUUAAUUUUUACUAGUUCUUCAGUAGAGUCUGGAAAUAUGUUGCGUUCAGAACAGGAAUAGGAUGUUGUUUCGUUGUGCUACAGAGUUACUAUGGUGGUUGAAGCUUGCUUGUCGGCAUGCUUAAGUUCACCUACAUUGAUAAUAUUAUAUAAAUCCCCACAUUACGUUAGGUGAUUUGAACCCUC
rnacentral:misc_RNA from 1 species